rnacentral:rRNA from 1 species
GGGUUGUGAGGUUAAGCGACUAAGCGUACACGGUGGAUGCCCUGGCAGUCAGAGGCGAUGAAGGACGUGCUAAUCUGCGAUAAGCGUCGGUAAGGUGAUAUGAACCGUUAUAACCGGCGAUUUCCGAAUGGGGAAACCCAGUGUGUUUCGACACACUAUCAUUAACUGAAUCCAUAGGUUAAUGAGGCGAACCGGGGGAACUGAAACAUCUAAGUACCCCGAGGAAAAGAAAUCAACCGAGAUUCCCCCAGUAGCGGCGAGCGAACGGGGAGCAGCCCAGAGCCUGAAUCAGUGUGUGUGUUAGUGGAAGCGUCUGGAAAGGCGCGCGAUACAGGGUGACAGCCCCGUACACAAAAAUGCACAUGCUGUGAGCUCGAUGAGUAGGGCGGGACACGUGGUAUCCUGUCUGAAUAUGGGGGGACCAUCCUCCAAGGCUAAAUACUCCUGACUGACCGAUAGUGAACCAGUACCGUGAGGGAAAGGCGAAAAGAACCCCGGCGAGGGGAGUGAAAAAGAACCUGAAACCGUGUACGUACAAGCAGUGGGAGCACGCUUAGGCGUGUGACUGCGUACCUUUUGUAUAAUGGGUCAGCGACUUAUAUUCUGUAGCAAGGUUAACCGAAUAGGGGAGCCGAAGGGAAACCGAGUCUUAACUGGGCGUUAAGUUGCAGGGUAUAGACCCGAAACCCGGUGAUCUAGCCAUGGGCAGGUUGAAGGUUGGGUAACACUAACUGGAGGACCGAACCGACUAAUGUUGAAAAAUUAGCGGAUGACUUGUGGCUGGGGGUGAAAGGCCAAUCAAACCGGGAGAUAGCUGGUUCUCCCCGAAAGCUAUUUAGGUAGCGCCUCGUGAAUUCAUCUCCGGGGGUAGAGCACUGUUUCGGCAAGGGGGUCAUCCCGACUUACCAACCCGAUGCAAACUGCGAAUACCGGAGAAUGUUAUCACGGGAGACACACGGCGGGUGCUAACGUCCGUCGUGAAGAGGGAAACAACCCAGACCGCCAGCUAAGGUCCCAAAGUCAUGGUUAAGUGGGAAACGAUGUGGGAAGGCCCAGACAGCCAGGAUGUUGGCUUAGAAGCAGCCAUCAUUUAAAGAAAGCGUAAUAGCUCACUGGUCGAGUCGGCCUGCGCGGAAGAUGUAACGGGGCUAAACCAUGCACCGAAGCUGCGGCAGCGACGCUGAUGCGUUGUUGGGUAGGGGAGCGUUCUGUAAGCCUGCGAAGGUGUGCUGUGAGGCAUGCUGGAGGUAUCAGAAGUGCGAAUGCUGACAUAAGUAACGAUAAAGCGGGUGAAAAGCCCGCUCGCCGGAAGACCAAGGGUUCCUGUCCAACGUUAAUCGGGGCAGGGUGAGUCGACCCCUAAGGCGAGGCCGAAAGGCGUAGUCGAUGGGAAACAGGUUAAUAUUCCUGUACUUGGUGUUACUGCGAAGGGGGGACGGAGAAGGCUAUGUUGGCCGGGCGACGGUUGUCCCGGUUUAAGCGUGUAGGCUGGUUUUCCAGGCAAAUCCGGAAAAUCAAGGCUGAGGCGUGAUGACGAGGCACUACGGUGCUGAAGCAACAAAUGCCCUGCUUCCAGGAAAAGCCUCUAAGCAUCAGGUAACAUCAAAUCGUAC